CCUACGGGAGGCAGCAGUGGGGAAUAUUGGGCAAUGGGCGCAAGCCUGACCCAGCAACGCCGCGUGAAGGAAGAAGGCUUUCGGGUUGUAAACUUCUUUUAAGGGGGAAGAGCAGAAGACGGUACCCCUUGAAUAAGCCACGGCUAACUACGUGCCAGCAGCCGCGGUAAUACGUAGGUAGCAAGCGUUGUCCGGAUUUACUGGGUGUAAAGGGCGUGCAGCCGGAGCGACAAGUCAGAUGUGAAAUCCACGGGCUCAACCCGUGAACUGCAUUUGAAACUGGUUCCCUUGAGUGUCGGAGGGGUAAUCGGAAUUCCUUGUGUAGCGGUGAAAUGCGUAGAUAUAAGGAAGAACACCAGUGGCGAAGGCGGAUUACUGGACGAUAACUGACGGUGAGGCGCGAAAGCGUGGGGAGCAAACAGGAUUAGAUACCCCUGUAGUC
rnacentral:rRNA from 1 species